rnacentral:rRNA from 1 species
UACGGGGGGGGCAAGCGUUGUUCGGAAUUACUGGGCGUAAAGGGCGCGUAGGCGGUUCGCUAAGUUGAAUGUGAAAACUCUGGGCUUAACCCAGAGCCUGCAUCCAAAACUGGCGAACUGGAGUACUGGAGGGGGAAGCGGAAUUCCUGGUGUAGCGGUGAAAUGCGUAGAUAUCGGGAGGAACACCUGUGGCGAAAGCGGCUCACUGGACCACAACUGACGCUGAGGCGCGAAAGCUAGGGGAGCAAACAGG